rnacentral:rRNA from 1 species
UAGGGAAUCUUCGGCAAUGGACGAAAGUCUGACCGAGCAACGCCGCGGGAGUGAAGAAGGUUUUCGGAUCGUAAAACUCUGUUGUUAGAGAAGAACAAGGACGUUAGUAACUGAACGUCCCCUGACGGUAUCUAACCAGAAAGCCACGGCUAACUACGUGCCAGCAGCCGCGGUAAUACGUAGGUGGCAAGCGUUGUCCGGAUUUAUUGGGCGUAAAGCGAGCGCAGGCGGUUUCUUAAGUCUGAUGUGAAAGCCCCCGGCUCAACCGGGGAGGGUCAUUGGAAACGGGGAGACUUGAGUGCAGAAGAGGAGAGGGGAAUUCCAGGUGUAGCGGUGAAAUGCGUAGAUAUAUGGAGGAACACCAGUGGCGAAGGCGGCUCUCUGGUCUGUAACUGACGCUGAGGCGCGAAAGCGUGGGGAGCAAACAGG